AUGGCACAGCGAGGGGACAUUCCGGGGCCGAGGCGCUGCAGGACAUGGCACACGAAUCCCCGCAGAUGCGCUCCCGCUGGCCCGGCUGCUGGCUGCGGGGUGGGGCGGUCUGCUCACAGAGACGGUGCAGCACAACUUGCAGACAGCAAAGCAAAUGUGCUACAGCCCAAGUCCAUCGUGGUAAACCAAAGCAACAACCUGCACAGCAGGAGGGUACACUGUGGUGCUCCAGGAAAGAAGCAACCAGAGAAACAGAGAGGAUUCUUCUUUCAGCAACAGAAGAAAGCUUUCUUGGCCGAGGUCAAACUUUCACUGCUUGUAUCUUGGGCCACUUGGAGCAUCAGAUGCCAAUCUCAUCUAUAGGAUCCUCCCACCUAAUCAACUUGUGGUAGGUUUCAAAUGGAGUCUGUCUUAAAGUCUUUUCACUUUUUUAAGUGAAAUUAAGUUUUAAUAUAUAUUUUCUCUCAGAUUUCACUUGAUGUGAAAAUGCUUGAGAAAUGUGUUUAUAUAUUCACAGCACAUGUGGAAAGAGAACCAAAACAGGGCAAAAAUGCAUAGCUGAGGCAGAAUGUGUGAGGAACUUCUUGAUGCUGGGCUGAAGAUCAGACAAGCUUAUAAAAAGGGCAGGGAAUGCUCAUUAUGGACUGAGUCAGCCCAGCAGCUGUGAGGCUCCUCCCUCCCCACUUCAAUGAUUUUAUUGUUCACCCAAGACACUGGCAGGCAGUCAGGAGAAAUCCCCUUGGCCCUGCAUCUGCCCCUCUGCUGGAUGCAAUCAGGCCCCAGCAACUUGGUGCUUUAGUUGUCUUUGUGAGGUCUUGCUUGAUGUGACCUCUUCUGAUGGGAUGCAGAGGCAAGGGAAACCAGGGGUGAUGUGCAGACCUGACCCAUGCACCAUCCUGGAAGUCACAGCUGAGCUUAAACUAAAUAAACAACAAAUGCUCACAGAGCA
rnacentral:lncRNA from 1 species